rnacentral:rRNA from 1 species
GUAGGGUCCAAGCGUUAAUCGGAAUUACUGGGCGUAAAGCGUGCGCAGGCGGUUGUGCAAGACCGAUGUGAAAUCCCCGGGCUUAACCUGGGAAUUGCAUUGGUGACUGCACGGCUAGAGUGUGUCAGAGGGGGUAGAAUUCCACAUGUAGCAGUGAAAUGCGUAGAGAUGUGGAGGAAUACCGAUGGCGAAGGCAGCCCCCUGGGAUAACACUGACGCUCAUGCACGAAAGCGUGGGGGGAGCAAACAGGAUUAGAUACCCUGGUAGUCCACGCCCCUAAACGAUGUCAACUAGUUGUUGGGGAUUCAUUUCCUUAGUAACGUAGCUAACGCGUGAAGUUGACCGCCUGGGAGUACGGUCGCAAGAUUA